rnacentral:ribozyme from 1 species
UACCCAGCAACUCAUAUCCCUACCUCCUCUCGGUACCGGCCGGAAACUAUGAGCAACCUUAGGGAAGAUCGGGUAACCAACCCCGGUAGGAACUUUGGUCGUAUGCUAACAGGGAGGG